UGACUCCCACAGGCUGAGUGCUGGGGAGCUGUAUCGGCGAUCGCAGCGGUAGAAGUAGCAGUUUAUCUGUGUGCAGCCCCAAACUGGGAAGAAGAUGCUAAUUAAAGUGAAGGUGGGAGCACCUCCAGCCUUGCCAAGACGCAGUGGUACUGGGCUGGCCGCUGUGCGUUAAGGGAGAAGCCGGGAAGGAAAACCACGCCUUUCCCGAGCCUGGAGGGGGCUGACAGCCUCGGGGCUCCGCGCGAGGGUUGAUGGGAUGUGGGGGGGGUCCCCAAAAGGGCUUCGAGAGCAGGGGCUGGCCCAGCCAGACGACCCCGGGGUCUGUGCUGUCCCUGCUUUCAUUCCGGGACCGUUCCUUGAUCCAGAAGGAGGCCGCCUUUGUCCGGGGUCUCGCUGUGUUCGAACCCCCGCGGUCAUAGAGAAGGCCUAGCAGCAUCUUGGCCCCCCUCUCUCUCGGAUUCUUGGAAUAAGCUCUGUUCUCCAUCGUUCAUGCCCCAGUUACCUGCUUCUCCCAGCCCCUAACGUAGGCACGUAGGCUACUCCGAGUACAGCACAAAAACGUAGCCUAGGGAACCGGGGCCUCCCAGGAACUAGACUGUGAGCUUUUGCUAGUUGUCGCCAAGGUGUAGUAUCUCAGCCGGCCUUCAGGAAACAAAGCUGGGAGCGUGUUCAGUUAGCACCUGCAUUUCUGAGCCAGCAUCGUGGACCAGACUCACUUCCUUGACUGAGGCAGACGCUGACCGGAAAGGAGAUUGAGAUUGACAUUGAACCCACAGACAAGGUGGAGCGAAUCAAGGAGCGUGUGGAGGAGAAAGAGGGAAUCCCCCCACAGCAGCAGCGGCUCAUCUACAGUGGUAAACAGAUGAACGAUGAGAAGACAGCAGCUGAUUACAAGAUACUAGGUGGUUCAGUCCUCCACCUGGUAUUGGCUCUGAGAGGAGGAGGUGGUCUUAGGCAGUGAUGGACCCCCCCCUCCAUUUCACCUCCUUGCCCUGUUGCUCAUUAUGAGGAAUCAUGUAUCCUCUCACACUGUGGGACACCAGAGCCACUGCCCCCUCUCCUGGAUGCCCAGUCUUGUGUGUCUGUUGGUGGGAGACUGUGAGGACCCCAGGAUGCAGUGUUCCUGGCCCAAAGGGCCCUUGCUGGCUAUUGGGUUUUAGUUUGCAGUCCUGUGUGCUUCCCUCUGUUAAUGGCUAUGUCCCUGGUUGUCAAUAAAAUAUUUCCUGGCCUCCUGG
rnacentral:lncRNA from 1 species